rnacentral:lncRNA from 1 species
CGCUUAGGAGUACGGCAGAGGCCGGGAAUCUAUGUCUACGCGCCUCCUGUCGUGCACGUCUAUACCCUGUGAAGCUUAGGUGACCUGGUGACUAGCUGGGCUUGUUUGCACGGCCAAAGCCCCUUGCCUCACGUUGUGCCCCCACAUGCAAACACACCUCGGAGUGCCCGAGCGCCUGGGCUCUUGCUGUGGUGAAACCUCUUACUUUACUUUCCUGUGCGUGGAUGCGGGCGGCGUGGGCAGGGUGCGUGUGUGGGGGCAACAUGCGACAAUGGACAAGGCGAAGUUCGGUCAGGCCUUUUGGAUGGCCCUGCGCCUUCUGGGCUAUGCGCACACAUGCAUAUAGAUUGUGGUAAGCGGGGCGGGGCGGGGUCGGAGGUGCAUAGAGGGGGUCGGGAUGGGGGCUCCGGAUGGGGGGGGGGGGGUCGGUCCCAGCUUGCGAGCUUAAGGGCAGCGAGGGGCCGGAGCGAAGCUUUACUGGACCCGCAUUUCCUUAAACACAGUGCUGACUAUACUUGCCCUUGAAUAACCAUUAGCGUACGUGGUGAGGAAGCGGUUCCAAUUUGUUUCACUUCCUUGCUCGCUGCGUAGUCGCCAUCAACGGACUGUGUUGUUGCUCGGGCGCUGCGGGAGAACAUGGCUAUGGCAAUGAUGGGGUCCCCUCCUGACACGGCUGAUGACUGUUUCUCCCGUGCUGACCUAUGGCUGGUGCAGCCGCCUGCUGGACUGGCGCCGCCGGUGUGGGAUGUGGUGUGUUUGGCUGCGCUGUCUGCCCUUGACUCGGGCCGGCGGCAGCAGGUGAUUAUGACUGGCUUGCGUGUGCGUCGGGCUCUGACGUCUGCGGACGUCAUGCGCAUCAGUGUGUCCGUUAUUGCUGACUUCUGGGGCCGGCUACAAUCGUAUGUCAGCCUCGGCCUCCGCCCGAAAGCCUGGGCCGCGGUGCCUGCGCACCACCCGUUCCUCUCGCGGGGUGCGGGUGACUGUGUAUAUGUUGCUAAUGUUGCCUGAUGAUGUGGGCUCCCCGCCCCCCUCGCCUUAAUUUGCUGGUGGGUGGUGGGAGCGGUGUGGGGCGUCGACGUGGGCGUCGCCGGACUACGUGCCCGGUGUACCUGCGUUGACACCUCGCCGGUUUAUUUGAUUGCGCUUCGUGCGCUAGUGGGGUUUGCUGUACGUUGGUGGGGCUUUGGCGUGCUUAGGCUUGGCUUCGACUCGCUGUGCAGCUGCCGGGACACGCUUUACGCGAAGACCUGUUGCACGGUUGUGGAAGGUCGGUAGCCAACUGGGGGUAGGGUGGUUUCCCUUCGGGCCGGAGAUGGUCCCUCUUGACCUGGGUGCGGGGCACCCUUGCUUGGUCGGAAUGUCCCUUCUUUGUAAUGUUGCAAUCAUAAACGGGCUUCGAGUCGAGGGGGCCCGAAAUCCCGAACUCGCACAGACUUCUGCAGCGGAGUGAAGGGGGCGCAGCUUCGCGGCUAGGGCUGCGUUUGGCCUCCCCGCGGCCUCAGGACCUGUCGCAGGUCAAAGUCAACGCGACGGAGCAAAGCGGCCGGGCUCAGGAGCGUCCUACGAGGAGUUGGCAUCGCGAUUCUAGUGAUUUCGUGCUCGCACCUGGAGCGUCGUCGUAACGCACUGCUUUGUGCACUGGUUAAAACUGUAUCGAAGGCGUAUUAGGCUCAAAGAAACACGCGAAAACCGAGACGGUGAGAAGAAGCUUCGAUUUCAAUAUGCACGGCGUGUGGCCCAAACCGCCACGCCCCGCGCCCGACACCUCUCCUGCCCCCUCGCACCCCGCGUCCGGCCCUACCCCGCUUCUGCCUUCCGCCGGCUCCACCUUGCUUUUACCCUGCGUCUAGCAAGUAUAACCUCUGCAAACGCCUCACUGACCCCCUCUUCCUCGCCGCUCAACCCCUGGACAGGCCUUCACCGAUCCUCCUUGUCUGGGUACGCGCCCUUCGCCUGCACAAUCGCCGGCAGCACCGUCUUGUACACGCGCACGGUCAGCUUCCACACGUACGCGUGAGUGAUCAGGGUGUUAAACAGCCUCUCCAGCUCGUCCAGGUAGGGCUGCAGCGUGUCAAACUGCACCUGCACGCGGUUGUUGAUGAAGGUCUGGAAGUGGAGCAUGAGGUGUGCGUGUGUCAGCUCGAUCACGCUGUGCAUGUCGGGGCUGUAGGGCGGCAGGAGCGUGUGCGUCUCAGGCGUGAUGCCGUUGGGCCUCGCCCAGUCUCCGUCCACCACGCUCCGGUGGAUGGGCUUGUAGCGGGGGUCGUCGGGCAUGGUUUGGUUGGGCUGAGUGGGGGCGUACAGGAGGUGGGUCUGACCCACCUCCUCAUCUCCCCCCACUCCCUUAAUCCACACCACUUGCCUACGGCAGGGUGUAUCUAUUUCUAUUUCUAUGUUUUGGUUGGGCUCCGCUUCAUCUGCUCGUACUUGUCCAGCAUCGCCUUGAUGAACGCCUCAAAUUCCUCCUCUGUAGGUCCAGCGGCCAGGGCACCGGCCUUGGUCUGCGGUGGCGGAGGGAGGGGCAGCCAUGAGCAC